UGGCUUCUUGGUCAAGAGGUUAAGACAUCGCCCUCUCAAGGCGGAAUCAGGGGUUCAAUUCCCCUAGAAGCUACCAU
rnacentral:tRNA from 1 species